rfam:Burkholderia sp. lig30 ctg86, whole genome shotgun sequence.
UCGCGGGCGACUGCAAAUCUGGAGGAAGCCGAAGGCAAAGCGCUGGCCUGACGAACAGGAAGCGGAUACGAGGCGGCGUAGCGGGGCGAGGUGGUCCAUAUCAUUGAAGCCCUGUACUUGCACGGAAAGCUACGACGUAUAUCCGACAGGCAUGGGACUGCGUGAAGCUGGGGGG